UACGUAGGGUGCAAGCGUUAAUCGGAAUUACUGGGCGUAAAGCGUGCGCAGGCGGUUAUGUAAGACAGAUGUGAAAUGCCCGGGCUUAACCUGGGAACUGCAUUUGUGACUGCAUGGCUAGAGUGUGUCAGAGGGGGGUAGAAUUCCACGUGUAGCAGUGAAAUGCGUAGAUAUGUGGAGGAACACCGAUGGCGAAGGCAAUCCCCUGGGCCUGCACUGACGCUCAUGCACGAAAGCGUGGGGAGCAAACAGG
rnacentral:rRNA from 1 species